GAUGAACGCUGGCGGCGUGCUUAACACAUGCAAGUCGAACGAUGAAGCCCAGCUUGCUGGGUGGAUUAGUGGCGAACGGGUGAGUAACACGUGAGUAACCUGCCCUUAACUCUGGGAUAAGCCUGGGAAACUGGGUCUAAUACCGGAUAGGAGCGCCUACCGCAUGGUGGGUGUUGGAAAGAUUUAUCGGUUUUGGAUGGACUCGCGGCCUAUCAGCUUGUUGGUGAGGUAAUGGCUCACCAAGGCGACGACGGGUAGCCGGCCUGAGAGGGUGACCGGCCACACUGGGACUGAGACACGGCCCAGACUCCUACGGGAGGCAGCAGUGGGGAAUAUUGCACAAUGGGCGAAAGCCUGAUGCAGCGACGCCGCGUGAGGGAUGACGGCCUUCGGGUUGUAAACCUCUUUCAGUAGGGUAGAAGCGAAAGUGACGGUACCUGCAGAAGAAGCACCGGCUAACUACGUG
rnacentral:rRNA from 1 species